rnacentral:rRNA from 1 species
GGAGUAGAUAAUUAAAAUAUUUUUAGU